UGGCGACGCUGCGCAGGCUUCAGGAGGCGCCUCGGCACUUACUGGUCUGUGAGAAAUCCAACUUUGGCCACGAUAAGUCUCGCCAUAAGCAUCUCGUGGAGACGCACUAUCAUAAUUACAGGGUUUCAUUUCUUAUUCCUGAGUGUGGGCUGCUAUCAAAAAAACUAAAAGACCUGGUCAUGGAAAUGGGACCCUAUUACUCUGUGAAGAAGUUACCUCUUCAUGAAUUAAUUACACAUGAAUUCAUCAACACCUUUGUAAAGAAAGGUUCACUCUCUGCAUUAACGUACAAUACAAGUAUUGAUGAGGAUAAUACUGUUGCUCUCCUACCAAAUGGGAAAUUAAUUUUAUCACUGGAUAAAGAUACUUAUGAAGAGACUGGACUCCAAGGCCAUCCAUCUCGGUAUUCUGGCAGAAAAAGUAUGAGGUUUAUCAUUUCCAUUGAUCUAAUGGAUUUAUCCCUUAACCUGGAUUCUAAGAAAUACAGAAGAAUAUCUUGGUCCUUCAAAGAAAAGAAGCCUUUGAAGUUUGAUUUCCUUUUGGCUUGGCAUCAUACAGGUACAGAAGAAUCAACAAUGAUGUCGUCCCCCAGACUUGCUAUGGUGGUUAGCUUCUCUGCGCUGGCUGGCUUUCUGCUCUGCUGUGGCCCCUGUACACUAGCUGCUUAUCCUGUGAUACACAGAGUGUUGCCUACCACAGAGCAGGGUAAGUUGGAAUAAGAGGAAGCAGCAGGAUUGGAGCGCUUGGUGACUUUUCUAGAUGCUAGUCAUGUAUGAACUGUUCUAGUUUGGAUUUCUGUUGGCCAGAAGCAACUUCUGUGAGGAAAGGACAGACUACAGUCCAUCAUCAAUGGAAGUUGAAGCAGGAACCUAAGACAAGAACUGAAGCAGAGACCAUGGAGGAAUGCUACUUUCUUACUUACCUAGCUUUCUUUUUAAAAAUUAAUUAAUUAUUUAAAUUUUA
rnacentral:lncRNA from 1 species